rnacentral:rRNA from 1 species
AGAGUUUGAUCCUGGCUCAGGACGAACGCUGGCGGCGUGCUUAACACAUGCAAGUCGAACGGAAAGGCCCCUUCGGGGGUACUCGAGUGGCGAACGGGUGAGUAACACGUGGGUGAUCUGCCCUGCACUUCGGGAUAAGCCUGGGAAACUGGGUCUAAUACCGGAUAGGACCCUCCUUUAGUGUGGGGGGUGGAAAGAUUUAUCGGUGCAGGAUGAGCCCGCGGCCUAUCAGCUUGUUGGUGGGGUAAUGGCCUACCAAGGCGUCGACGGGUAGCCGGCCUGAGAGGGUGGACGGCCACAUUGGGACUGAGAUACGGCCCAGACUCCUACGGGAGGCAGCAGUGGGGAAUAUUGCACAAUGGGCGGAAGCCUGAUGCAGCGACGCCGCGUGGGGGAUGACGGCCUUCGGGUUGUAAACCUCUUUCGACAGGGACGAAGUGAAAAUGACGGUACCUGUAUAAGAAGCACCGGCUAACUACGUGCCAGCAGCCGCGGUAAUACGUAGGGUGCGAGCGUUGUCCGGAAUUACUGGGCGUAAAGAGCUCGUAGGUGGUUUGUCACGUCGUCUGUGAAAUUCCGGGGCUUAACCUCGGGCGUGCAGGCGAUACGGGCAAUACUUGAGUGCUGUAGGGGAGACUGGAAUUCCUGGUGUAGCGGUGAAAUGCGCAGAUAUCAGGAGGAACACCAAUGGCGAAGGCAGGUCUCUGGGCAGUUACUGACGCUGAGGAGCGAAAGCAUGGGUAGCGAACAGGAUUAGAUACCCUGGUAGUCCAUGCCGUAAACGGUGGGCGCUANGUGUAGGGGACUUCCACGUCUUCUGUGCCGUAGCUAACGCAUUAAGCGCCCCGCCUGGGGAGUACGGCCGCANNGCUAAAACUCAAAGGAAUUGACGGGGGNNCCGCACAAGCNGCGGANCAUGUGGAUUAAUUUNNAUGCAACGCGAAGAANCCUUACCUGGGGCUUGA